UACGGAGGGGGCUAGCGUUGUUCGGAAUUACUGGGCGUAAAGCGCACGUAGGCGGCUUUGUAAGUUAGAGGUGAAAGCCCGGGGCUCAACUCCGGAAUUGCCUUUAAGACUGCAUCGCUAGAAUUGUGGAGAGGUAAGUGGAAUUCCGAGUGUAGAGGUGAAAUUCGUAGAGAUCCGGAAGAACACCGAUGGCGAAGGCAGCCAUCUGGACCGACACUGACGCUGAGGAGCGAAAGCGUGGGGAGCGAACAGG
rnacentral:rRNA from 1 species